rnacentral:rRNA from 1 species
UACGUAGGGUGCGAGCGUUAAUCGGAAUUACUGGGUGUAAAGCGUGCGCAGGCGGUUCGCCAAGUCAGGUGUGAAAUCCCCGGGCUUAACCUGGGAAUUGCGCUUGAAACUAGCGGGCUUGAGUGUGGCAGAGGGGGGUGGAAUUCCACGUGUAGCAGUGAAAUGCGUAGAGAUGUGGAGGAACACCGAUGGCGAAGGCAGCCCCCUGGGUCAACACUGACGCUCAUGCACGAAAGCGUGGGGAGCAAACAGG